CGGGCCGAGAGAACCCGCUCGGGUCGGGCAUGUUGCUAGAGUCCUACAGACGUUGAUCACCCCCACGAAGACUUGAUAAAAUGGUGCUUUGGACCAGGGAAAGCUGAAGAUGAGGUUCUGGAUUUCUAAUAACCCUAAAUGCAAAGAUGAUCCUGAAGAGGAGAACUUAGAUCAUGAACAGCUUGGUCAACAGCCUGUCUUUCCAUCUUUCUAUCCUGCUCUAACUCCCACUCCCUCUCCCAACCUACCCUUAUGGGAAACCACGGCUACUUUUAUUUCUUUAUUUUCCAACUUUUGGAGGUGGCUGUCAUAUCAGCUCUUUAUGAACACUACAUGUCUGUGAUGUCAGCAUUUAGAAAUGCAGGAUGAUUAAUUGAAACUAUGGAAAAAAAACAACUGUGAAGAGCUGUCUGAAUAUACAAAGAACCAGUUUAUUUGCAUGAGACUUUGAGAAAGGCCUUCCACAUAAAUGGUGCUAAGCUCCCAAAAAAAAAAAAUGAUACUACAAUUGUAAUGGUAAUCUGGAGUUCAUGCUUCCAAGCUGCUGGUUUCAUAAAUAUAGCCCAUUAUUGUUCAUGUUUGCCCGGGGCAGAAAGAAUAUGUGAGGCUGCACAAUAAUAACAAUUGUGCUGCACAAAUAACUGUCCUUGUGCCAGGGACUGAAAAGAACAAGCAGUAAGAGAUUUUUAAAUGCCACACACACCCAGGGUGUGAUAGGACAGUUCAAAAUUGUCGUCAUCACUAAUUUUUUAGGGCAACAGGGUGUCUUGGGAAGAGCCUGAAUUUAGAUCUGGGAAGGCCCAGCUCGGUCCAGUCUUGGCUCUGCAACUUCCUGGUUUUGUGACCUUGGACAAGUCAAUGAACUAUACCAAGCCAUCGUUUCCUCUCCUAUAAACUGACGGGUCCUGGAAGCUAUAAGAAACCAAAAGAGCACCAUGGGAAAGAAAAUAUUUGUACUCAAGGCUGUAGGUCCUUUCAUCUGCAGAUUUCAAAGCAUUGUCUCCAUCACUAAUUACUAGCCCUGCUUAACAUGUGGGAAUGCUGAGACACCAUCAAAUUAAGAAGCUUGCCCUAGAUCACAAGGCAAGUCAGUGGAUGGGCUACAGAAAGAACAAAGCUGUCCUGUUUGCCAGCCUCAGGCUCUAAAGUAGGACACAUGAGAGUCAACAGAGAGGAUUCAAGUAAAGAGGAGGAAAGUUUGGGGAAUUCUGAUUCUGUAUCUUUGAAUCAUUGUGGUGACAAGAGCAUGGGCUUUAGAGUCAAAUUUGACUUCAAAUCUCAGCUCAGCUCCUUAUUGACUCUGUAACCUCAGUCAAAUCAUAAAUUGUCUUAGUUUCCUUCUCUGUAAAAUGGGGAUUUUAAUUCUUACUUCUAAGGCUUUGGGGAAGGUUAAAUGAUGAAACUUUUGUGAAAGAGCCUAGCACAGUGUCUAGCGCUUAGCAGGUUCAUGUAGUCGGAGAAAACUAAGACACCAUACACCCACAUAAUGACAAAUAGACAACUCUUUCAGGCAAAGAUUUUCUAAGCCAUAAUCACAGUUGUGUCUCAGUUUAAAAUGAUGACUGUAUUGAACAUCUCAUAACACAAAUAGAGGGUGCCUUGUUCAUCGGUUUUCUUCCUUGAUUCUGUGCUUUCUUUUAUAGCCCAAGCCAAACCUAUCGACAAGUUUUGUUGGCUCAACCUCUAAUAUAUAUCCGAAAUUCCAAUUCUAUUUUCAAAAUAUAUUCCAGAUCUGACUAUUUCUCACUAUCUUCACUACCACCAUCAUCUUUCUCCUAGACCACUGCUAAAGCUCCUUAACUAACCUCCCUAAUUCCGCGUUUG